GCUGGAUGCAGUGGUUGCCGUGGAGCUGGAUGCAGUGGUUGUCAUUUAGAUAGAUGCAGUGGUUGUUAUGGAGCUGGAUGCAGUGAUUGUCAUUUAGAUAGAUGCAGUGGUUGUUAUGGAGCUGGAUGCAGUGGUUGCCGUGGAGCUGGAUGCAGUGGUUGCCGUGGAGCUGGAUGCAGUGGUUGUCAUUUAGAUAGAUGCAGUGGUUGUUAUGGAGCUGGAUGCAGUGAUUGUCAUUUAGAUAGAUGCAGUGGUUGUUAUGGAGCUGGAUGCAGUGGUUGCCAUGGAGCUAGAUGCAGUGGUUGCCAUUUAGAUAGAUGGAGUGGUUGUUAUGGAGCUGGAUGCAGUGGUUGCCGUGGAGCUAGAUGCAGUGGUUGUCAUUUAGAUAGAUGCAGUGGUUGUUAUGGAGCUGGAUGCAGUGGUUGCCGUGGAGCUAGAUGCAGUGGUUGCCAUUUAGAUAGAUGCAGUGGUUGUUAUGGAGCUGGAUGCAGUGGUUGUUAUGGAGCUGGAUGCAGUGAUUGUCAUUUAGAUAGAUGCAGUGGUUGUUAUGGAGCUGGAUGCAGAGGUUGCCGUGGAGCAGGAUGCAGAGGUUGCCAUGGAGCUGGAUGCAGUGGUUGUUAUGGAGCUAGGUGCAGUGGUUGUCAUUUAGAUCGAUGCCGUGGUAGUCAUUGCAGAGUUGUUUCCAGACAGC